rnacentral:tRNA from 1 species
GAAAUAUACUAAAAAAGCUGCUAACUUUUUAUUUAAUGAAUAAAAUCAUUUUUAUUUCU